rnacentral:rRNA from 1 species
AACGUGCCUUUAGGUUCGGAAUAGCUCCUGGAAACGGGUGGUAAUGCCGAAUGUGCCCUUCGGGGGAAAGAUUUAUCGCCUUUAGAGCGGCCCGCGUCUGAUUAGCUUGUUGGUGGGGUAAUGGCCCACCAAGGCUACGAUCAGUAGCUGGUCUGAGAGGAUGACCAGCCACAUUGGGACUGAGACACGGCCCAAACUCCUACGGGAGGCAGCAGUGGGGAAUCUUGCGCAAUGGGCGAAAGCCUGACGCAGCCAUGCCGCGUGUAU